GACGAACGCUGGCGGCGUGCCUAAUACAUGCAAGUGGGACGCAAGGGAACACACUGUGCUUGCACACCGUGUUUUCUUGAGUCGCGAACGGGUGAGUAACGCGUAGGUAACCUGCCUAUUAGCGGGGGAUAACUAUUGGAAACGAUAGCUAAUACCGCAUAAUAUUAAUUAUUGCAUGAUAAUUGAUUGAAAGAUGCAAGCGCAUCACUAGUAGAUGGACCUGCGUUGUAUUAGCUAGUUGGUAAGGUAAGAGCUUACCAAGGCGACGAUACAUAGCCGACCUGAGAGGGUGAUCGGCCACACUGGGACUGAGACACGGCCCAGACUCCUACGGGAGGCAGCAGUAGGGAAUCUUCGGCAAUGGACGAAAGUCUGACCGAGCAACGCCGCGUGAGUGAAGAAGGUUUUCGGAUCGUAAAGCUCUGUUGUAAGUCAAGAACGUGUGUGAGAGUGGAAAGUCACACAG
rnacentral:rRNA from 1 species